UCUUGAAGAAACUGGCAUUUAAA
rnacentral:piRNA from 1 species